CAACAAUAUAAGAGGAUUGCAGACCGAGUCCGAGACGACCCCAUCCUCGGCAGUCUCCCCAUUCCACUUCCCAACUUGAACGCCAAGUCCAUCUCGACCUUCACUGCCAGGGAGGAGAAAAAGGCCAACUAUGGGGCGACUGUACUGCCGAAGGUGACGCCUCACCUGAAAGUGCUGUCAGACGCACCGUUCCCAGAAGCUCCUGCGCUGCCAACAUCCCUCCCACCGCCAGACCGGCCUCAGGUCCAGUACCAGCACGUUCAUCACGAGGCUGGAAAAAGACAUGGUGAGAAGCGGAGAUUAUUUGUUGAAGAGCCAGAGCCUGUGCCUCCUGUGAACCGGCCCGUUCAGCCCACGGCGUCGUCCUCCUUCACUCGGCCAAAGCCUGCUGAGCCCACCCUCAUUCUGCCAAGGCCUACUGCGUCCACCCACCUCCAGCCAAAGCCUGCUGCGCCCACCUAUGGACCACCCCCUGUGUCGGUAGCACCCAUACUGCUGGUUCUCCCCGCACAGCCACAGGCUCCCUCCGUCCUGUUUCGUGGGCCAUCGUGCAGCCAGAGCUUUGUACCUCCUGCACCAACAGUCAAGGCAUUCAUGCCGAACAAGUCCUCGCGGCCAUGUGGGGCUUGCCAUGUGCCUAAUUGUGGUGGACAGCGGAAGAGGUACACACCUUCCAAGGACAAAGUGGCUGGAAGCACCCAGAAGAUAUUUUCCUACUGUCCAUCCACUAGGAAAUCCACCACCUCUGGGUUUGACAAUGUGGUGUACGACAGCUUUGAACACUUUAAAAGUGUGGUGGAUGUGGAGUUGGAAAAGAGUGUGUAAAUAACUGUAAAUAACUUAUCUCUGUGAUGCCACUUCUCCUGUGCCAUCUGUAGGAGAGAGAAAGAGGCUUGUUUGUGUUUGUUUGUUUGUGUGUUUGUACUUGCUGAAGCACUUUAAAACACAAACAAAACUAUCUAUUUAUUUAUAUAGUUCAGAAGUUCAAAAAAAUGCACUUUACAGUUUUACUUAAGAAUGUUCUUGUGUUUGUUUUUUAUUAUUAUUUAUGUUGCUGUUAAAAUGCAUUUUGUAGUAUCUUUUUUUUAUAAAAAAACAUGUUCUGGCCUAUGUUUAAUAUCAAGGCCAAUCUAACCUCAAUCAUUUUAACCUUAAUCAGUUCCGAUCUAACACAAUCAGUUUACAUACCCUUUAGUGGUUGUUCAUGUCUGAUAAUAUGUGUUUUUGUCAUGUAUGUGUUUGUCUUUGUCAGCUUCAUGUCUUUGUAAUGUUUGUAUGUCUUUGUCUGCUUCAUGUUUAACAAAAGUUUGCCAAAGAAAACACACACAAAAAAUCGAACAGGCUUGAGCCUUUAUUUGUUGAUUAGUGACCUGAGUCUUUGGAUAAUCCUGUUCUUUAUUGGGCUUUGGCCUGUACAAACCAAUUGUUAAUUUUUAUCACAAGUACAAGUUUGUGUUUUUAAUUAAGUGUUUUUGAUUAUUAUAUGUUAUUUAUGUGCGCGUGUCCUUGUGAUGUUUGUUUGUCUGUCAGCUCCAUGUUUAACUAAAUGUUCACAAAUGGUAGUAAAUGUUUGUCUCGUGUUCUCGCUCGUAGAUCUGUACCUUGUCGUGGUGAGUGAGCUUUAAACCAAACAGAUCUUGUUUACUUGUGUUUUCAUGCAUUGCCUUUUAAAUGAAACACAUUCUGGGUGAAAAAUAAAAGUUGUAAAAGUAUUUCA
rnacentral:lncRNA from 1 species